rnacentral:misc_RNA from 1 species
GAAUUCUUCAAAGGUAUCUUUCCUGCAAUCAAAGGGAGAGUUGGAGUAUUCCAGGAGCUUUUCAACCAUUUGCAGACGAGGAGGGAGGUGAAGUGGAAGGAGCUUUCCUUUGUAAAAGAGCUCAUCAGCAGGAGAAGUUGUGGUAUCUAUAUCAAGUGAAAUUGAAGACAUUUGAAACUCAAACUCUCUUGCUUGUGGAGUAGAGCUUCUGGGGUGACACAGAAAGUUGGAGUAUGAGCUAACUUCCAUGUCAAUGAAGUCAUCAUCUGCCUGAUCAUAUGAUAUGUUCACUGCCAUUUCUAGCAACUCUCACUGUAAUGUUAAGGCAGAGUUCUCUCUCUCUCUCUCU